rnacentral:lncRNA from 1 species
ACGCCUCAAGUUGUCAUACCACUGUUAGAAUUUCUCUCUGAUGAUGGAGAUUUGGAUAAACAGGAAAUCGCAUACAUAAAAGGCUUGGUCUUGAAGCUAGAGGAAGAAUUGCAUACUGUAACAUCUUCAUCCUCCAAAUAAUUACACAUCCCGGCAGAUCAAAUUGGUGGUGCAAUACAAAGACAGUUCGCGGACGCCUUGAAAGUUCAUGUUCAACAGCAAGCGAAUGACGGUUGGAAGAGGAAGCAACUGGAUGUUUGGUCAACCAGCAAAGCAGCUGGUGGCGACAAAGGAAACCUAUAAGGGCUUACCAGUGGAACUUCAAAAUCUACAUGUCAUUAAGAAACAUCAGAUGUUUGUUGGAAUCCUCAAAAGUUCUAA